GAUGAACGCUAGCUACAGGCUUAACACAUGCAAGUCGAGGGGCAGCAUGGUCUUAGCUUGCUAAGGCCGAUGGCGACCGGCGCACGGGUGAGUAACGCGUAUCCAACCUGCCUUACACUCUUGGACAGCCUUCUGAAAGGGAGAUUAAUACAAGAUGUUAUCAUGAGUAAGCAUUUUCGCAUGAUUAAAGGUUUACCGGUGUAAGAUGGGGAUGCGUUCCAUUAGAUAGUAGGCGGGGUAACGGCCCACCUAGUCUUCGAUGGAUAGGGGUUCUGAGAGGAAGGUCCCCCACAUUGGAACUGAGACACGGUCCAAACUCCUACGGGAGGCAGCAGUGAGGAAUAUUGGUCAAUGGACGAGAGUCUGAACCAGCCAAGUAGCGUGAAGGAUGAAGGUUCUAUGGAUUGUAAACUUCUUUUAUACGGGAAUAAACGGAUCCACGCGUGGAUUUCUGCAUGUACCGUAUGAAUAAGGAUCGGCUAACUCCGUGCCAGCAGCCGCGGUAAUACGGAGGAUCCGAGCGUUAUCCGGAUUUAUUGGGUUUAAAGGGAGCGUAGAUGGGUUGUUAAGUCAGUUGUGAAAGUUUGCGGCUCAACCGUAAAAUUGCAAUUGAUACUGGCAGUCUUGAGUACAGUUGAGGUAGGCGGAAUUCGUGGUGUAGCGGUGAAAUGCUUAGAUAUCACGAAGAACUCCGAUUGCGAAGGCAGCUUACUAACCUGUAACUGACAUUGAUGCUCGAAAGUGUGGGUAUCAAACAGG
rnacentral:rRNA from 1 species